rnacentral:rRNA from 1 species
UACGUAGGGUCCGAGCGUUGUCCGGAAUUAUUGGGCGUAAAGGGCUCGUAGGCGGUUCGUCACGUCGGGAGUGAAAACUCGGGGCUUAACCCCAGUCCUGCUUCCGAUACGGGUGGACUAGAGGUAGGUAGGGGAGAUCGGAAUUCCUGGUGUAGCGGUGAAAUGCGCAGAUAUCAGGAGGAACACCGGUGGCGAAGGCGGAUCUCUGGGCCUUACCUGACGCUGAGGAGCGAAAGCAUGGGGAGCAAACAGG